rnacentral:rRNA from 1 species
GCGGACGGGUGAGUAACGCGUGGGGAACCUGCCCUAUACAGGGGGAUAACAGCUGGAAACGGCUGCUAAUACCGCAUAAGCGCACAGAAUCGCAUGAUUCAGUGUGAAAAGCCCUGGCAGUAUAGGAUGGUCCCGCGUCUGAUUAGCUGGUUGGUGAGGUAACGGCUCACCAAGGCGACGAUCAGUAGCCGGCUUGAGAGAGUGAACGGCCACAUUGGGACUGAGACACGGCCCAAACUCCUACGGGAGGCAGCAGUGGGGAAUAUUGCACAAUGGGGGAAACCCUGAUGCAGCGACGCCGCGUGAGUGAAGAAGUAUUUCGGUAUGUAAAGCUCUAUCAGCAGGGAAGAAAACAGACGGUACCUGACUAAGAAGCCCCGGCUAACUACGUGCCAGCAGCCGCGGUAAUACGUAGGGGGCAAGCGUUAUCCGGAAUUACUGGGUGUAAAGGGUGCGUAGGUGGCAUGGUAAGUCAGAAGUGAAAGCCCGGGGCCUAACCCCGGGACUGCUUUUGAAACUGUCAUGCUGGAGUGCAGGAGAGGUAAGCGGAAUUCCUAGUGUAGCGGUGAAAUGCGUAGAUAUUAGGAGGAACACCAGUGGCGAAGGCGGCUUACUGGACUGUCACUG